rnacentral:rRNA from 1 species
UACGUAGGGCGCAAGCGUUAUCCGGAAUUAUUGGGCGUAAAGAGCUCGUAGGCGGUUUGUCGCGUCUGCCGUGAAGGUCCGGGGCUCAACUCCGGAUCUGCGGUGGGUACGGGCAGACUAGAGUGAUGUAGGGGAGACUGGAAUUCCUGGUGUAGCGGUGAAAUGCGCAGAUAUCAGGAGGAACACCGGUGGCGAAGGCGGCAUCCUGGACCGACACUGACGCUGAGGAGCGAAAGCCAGGGGAGCAAACGGG